rnacentral:rRNA from 1 species
ACGUGAGAAACCUGUCCCGAUCACUGGGAUAACAGUUGGAAACGACUGCUAAUACCGGAUACCGCCGGUGCACCGCAUGGUGUGCCGAUGAAAGGGUUACUGGAUCGGGAGGGUCUCGCGGCCUAUCAGCUAGUUGGAGAGGUAACGGCUCACCAAGGCAUCGACGGGUAGCUGGUCUGAGAGGAUGAUCAGCCACACUGGGACUGAGACACGGCCCAGACUCCUACGGGAGGCAGCAGUAAGGAAUCUUGCACAAUGGGCGAAAGCCUGAUGCAGCAACGCCGCGUGCGGGAAGACGGC